AUGCACGCUGGCGGCGUGCCUAAUCCCUGCAAGUCGAGCGAACAGACGAGGAGCUUGCUCCUCUGACGUUAGCGGCGGACGGGUGAGUAACACGUGGAUAACCUACCUAUAAGACUGGGAUAACUUCGGGAAACCGGAGCUAAUACCGGAUAAUAUAUUGAACCGCAUGGUUCAAUAGUGAAAGACGGUUUUGCUGUCACUUAUAGAUGGAUCCGCGCCGCAUUAGCUAGUUGGUAAGGUAACGGCUUACCAAGGCGACGAUGCGUAGCCGACCUGAGAGGGUGAUCGGCCACACUGGAACUGAGACACGGUCCAGACUCCUACGGGAGGCAGCAGUAGGGAAUCUUCCGCAAUGGGCGAAAGCCUGACGGAGCAACGCCGCGUGAGUGAUGAAGGUCUUCGGAUCGUAAAACUCUGUUAUUAGUGAAGAACAAAUGUGUAAGUAACUAUGCACGUCUUGACGGUACCUAAUCAGAAAGCCACGGCUAACUACGUG
rnacentral:rRNA from 1 species